UGCAAGUCGAACGCAGUAGCAAUACUGAGUGGCAAACGGGUGAGUAUAAUGUGGGAAUCUGCCUUUUGGUUUGGAAUAACACGGGGAAACCUGUGCUAAUACCGGAUAAGCCCUUACGGGGAAAGUUUUAAUGCCAAAAGAUGAGCCCGCACUUGAUUAGCUAGUUGGUAAGGUAAAAGCUUACCAAGGCAACGAUCAAUAGCUGUUCUUAGAGGAAGACCAGCCACAUUGGGACUGAGACACGGCCCAGACUCCUACGGGAGGCAGCAGUGGGGAAUCUUGCACAAUGGGGGAAACCCUGAUGCAGCGAUGCCGCGUGAGUGAAGAAGGCCUUUGGGUUGUAAAACUCUUUCGUCGGGGAAGAAAAUGACUGUACCCGAAUAAGAAGGUCCGGCUAACUUCGUGCCAGCAGCCGCGGUAGUACGAAGGGACCUAGCGUAGUUCGGAAUUACUGGGCUUAAAGAGCUCGUAGGUGGUUAAAAAAGUUGAUGGUGAAAUCCCAAGGCUCAACCUUGGAACUGCCAUCAAAACUUUUUAGCUAGAGUGUGAUAGAGGUAAGUGGAAUUUCUAGUGUAGAGGUGAAAUUCGUAGAUAUUAGAAAGAACACCAAAUGCGAAGGCAACUUACUGGGUCACUACUGACACUGAGGAGCGAAAGCAUGGGUAGCGAAGAGGAUUAGAUACCCUCGUAGUCCAUGCCGUAAACGAUGUGUGCUAGACGUUGGAAAUAUAUUUUUCAGUGUCGCAGCGAAAGCAUUAAGCACACCGCCUGGGGAGUACGACCGCAAGGUUAAAACUCAAAUGAAUUGACGGGGACCCGCACAAGCAGUGGAGCAUGUGGUUUAAUUCGAAGAUACGCGCAGAAACCUUACCAACGCUUGACAUGUUCGUCGCGAGACUAAGAGAUUAGUUUCUUCAGUUCGGCUGGACGAAACAC
rnacentral:rRNA from 1 species